UUUUCAAAUUCCCUUACCUGAGGAAGGAGCCCGAUUACAAGGAUAUUCCCCUGCUCCUACCCUGAUCUAGAAGAGGAAGCUAAGGCCUGGGUUGGGUAACUGCCUGACAUUUUACUGUAAGUGCAUUGUGUGCCCAAGCUCAGGGUUGUCUUGUCUAGACCAUUAAAGUCACACAGUGCAAUUUAAGAAGACACUGAGGCCGUGAGCAGUGGCUCACGCCUGUAAUCUCAGCACUUUGGGAGGCCAAGGUGGGUGGAUCACAAGGUCAGGAGAUCGAGACCAUCCUGGUGAAACCCUGUCUCUACUAAAAAUACAAAAAAUUAGCCGGGCGUGGCAGCGGGCGCCUGUGGUCCCAGCUACUCGGGAGGCUGAGGCAGGAGAAUGGCGUGAAUCCAGGAGGUGGAGCUUACAGUGAUCGGAGAUCACGCUACUGCACUCCAGCC
rnacentral:sRNA from 1 species